GGAUCAGAGAGUGAGCAAGCCCCUCAGUCAGAGUUGGCUGAGGAAGCACUGGCUCUGAAGGAGGGGACACUGAAGCAAGUGUACCUGGUAUGCUGAGAACUGCCACAGGAGGGUGCUCCAGUUCUCAUGGAUGAGCAUGCUGUUUGUGGCAACCCUCUGAAGAUUUAAUUAAGUGGAAGCAGGAUCAGUCCCUAACUUUGUAAACAGAACUCAAGCACUGAUGAAUGUGUAACCUAUGUAACAGGAAGGAUCUUGUUAGGAGCUGGUUUACCUGCUUGGUCUCUCUUUGUCCUGAGAGGGAACCAACCAAAAAACACCAACAAAAACUUUCAAAUCUGGGGGGAAGAUCUUCUUUUCCCCAUUGGUCCUUCUAGUCAGAUGCCAGUGAGAAUUUGUCCUGGAAACCCCCACAAAAGUGUUAUCUGAGGUGGCUUCAGAAACCAAUGGAAAGCUAGAUGCUGGCAUAAAUCCACAUAACUCAUUGAAGUUAAUGGAGCUACAUCAAUUUACAACAGCUGAGGAUCUGGUCUAUCAGUCUUAGUAGAUCAAACAGUUGCCAACAUCUUCAGUGAGAGAUUCCCAGAUGGUCUGCCUGUAACCAACAGCACUCCUUUAGAUGUCUUGGUAUUGUCUAGCAUUGACUGACUGAAAUUGUAUGUCACUUCUAGCAGUAGAGUCUCAACUUCCAAAAGGUGGUAAAACAAAUUAAAAAUAGCAGUCCCAGCAGUCCCACUAGCUGUAUAACUCAUGUGUAGGACUUAUAUUUAAGAAGAUACUUGUGGAUGGAUGAGUAGUUUGGACAUUCUGUAUCAUUCUUUCUCUAGCCAAUACACCCAGGAAAAUGACUAACUUGUUAGGACAAUGCCUUGUCUCCCUAAGGCCAUGUCUAUACUACCACUUUUGUCGGUAUAAAUUAUGUCACUCAGGGAUGUGAAAAAACAGACCCAAGAGUGAUAUUGGUUACACCAACAGAAGCGCCAGUGUGGACAGUGCUAUGUUGGUGGGAGAGCUUCUACUGCCGACAUAGCUACUGUCACUCAUGGAGAUGGUUUUAUUAUGUUGACGGGGGAAUUUGCUCCUGUCGGUAUAGAGCCGCUAUGUGAGCAAUCUCUCAGUGGCUCAGCUUCAUCAGUACAUCUGUGCCAUUGUAAGCUUGCUAGUGUAGACAUGGCCUCUGUCUAGUUUUAAUCUUUUGAUAUGCCUGACUAUAAUCAUAUAAGUCUCCUCAAAAGUAGACAUUUUCAGACAGGGAACUGAGAGCUAAAACUGUAGUGACGGUAGAUAUAAUACUAGCAGAUAUCUGUUUUAAAUAAUCCUGGCUCAUAAAUUGUAGGUAGUAAGUCCAUAUAGUUCAAAUACAAAGAAAAAGAGGCUUUGGAUUUGUCUCUUCUCCCCCUCCACCCCCACCACCAAAAAAAACCAAAAACAAAAAAACCCCAAUGAUUUAGUCCUAAUCUUCCCUGGAAAGCUAUUCAAAAUUAGAAAUAUUUAAAAAUCUGUGGGGAAAGCAUCUUGAAAGAUUUAAUAGCCAACUUUCUGUUUUGUUUGCUGCUUGUCCUUUUUUCAUUGACCAUAACCUUUAAAUUUUACAUCCUGCUUUGGAAUUCUGUGUUCAGUGACUAAUUGGUUUCCUUGUGUUACGACAGUGAAGUGCAUGAAAGUAAAGGCAUAAAUUAAGGUCACGCAUUCACAGUAACUAACCUGGGACAGAUUUUGAAAUAUACUAAUAGGCCAAAUGCCCUAUUGCUUUUAGCCACAAUGCUGAAGCACAGAUUAACCUUAGGACCUGUAGUUCAAUUACAUGAUGCAGCCUGAUAGUGUAAGGCCUGGUCUACACUAGGAGUUUGUCAAAUU